ensembl:lncRNA
CUGGAGGAGUCCGUGGAGCCCAGGUCAGGACCUGGCUCCAAGCCCAUCUCCAUUUGCAGAUGCCCAGGUCUUGGCAUCCCAGAGGAAACACAAGCUCCCUGGCAGAAGGGACGGCAUCUUAAAUCCAACCCCAAUGACCCACAGUCUCAUCUGGAGGAAUUAUUCUCAGCAAAGUCUGGGACUGGCCUGAAGGAGACAGACAUCUCCAGGUAGAGGGAGCAUCCUGCUGUUCUCUGGUAAAUCAAAGAGGAACAGGCGGCUCCUGCCCCCCUCAUGCCUGGCCUGACCCCAGCCUUUCAUGUGCAGCGGCCACAGGGAGGAGAGAACGCACAAAACCAGAACAAACCCCCCAAAGUAAAGGCUUAAAAUGAAACCAUUUCACAGGGACAAUACUCUGUUCUUCUUUAAACUCUACCCAAGAACAAAUGGGAGUCUUUUUUUCAGUGGAAAGACUGGAUUUGGGCUUUUAUCCUCAGAGGCCUUUAUUUGGGGUACCUCUCCCACCUCCACUCCUUUCAUUAUUUCAGAACUUCUUAGAGGCUGGGGUGGGGGCGGGGAGGUGGACAGGAGCCUCCAACCUGCCCCAGGUGGGGACCCACAGCCUGGGUCUGGGGGUGCUUGGUCUUGGGCCAACUUGGGUUGGGGGAAUAAUGAAGGGUCAGCCUUUGUCU